rnacentral:rRNA from 1 species
UACGUAGGGGGCGAGCGUUGUCCGGAUUUAUUGGGCGUAAAGAGCGUGUAGGCGGCCAGGUAGGUCUGCUGUGAAAACUCGAGGCUCAACCUCGAGACGUCGGCGGAAACCAUCUGGCUAGAGUCCGGAAGAGGAGAGUGGAAUUCCUGGUGUAGCGGUGAAAUGCGCAGAUAUCAGGAAGAACACCAAUAGCGAAGGCAGCUCGCUGGGACGUUACUGACACUGAGGUGCGAAAGCGUGGGGAGCGAACAGG